GGUCUGAAAUGCAAAUUUGUUACCUCAUUAUUCAUGUUUUCCCAUCACCUGCACGUGCUGAAAGACGAUUGUGCAAGCGAGUUCAACGUAUUUUCUAUCUGCAUCCUUGUUUCUUCUUCCCUUCCAAGUUCGAGGAACAAAAUUAGUUUGCCAAAAACAACAUCAUUUCCGUCGGCAGCCUGGAAACUCGUCCAAAAGCUUUGCUCUGAAGCGGAGUUUGCAACACGUGUUGACUCGGUCCAAAACCAUGAUGUCGGAUGUGUGAAUUCUCUUGUGCUCACAACGGUAAUUAUCAAAAGUAUUAUUAUUAUGAAAGGUAGUCUGUCCUUAAAAAAAUUAUCUAAUGUGUCUAUAGAUCUUCUGAUACUUUACGCUAAAUUUCAAGACAGUAUCGAGCAGAAACUCGAGUAGCGCACGGUUAACGAAACCAGCAUUUUGAAUUAAGCUCGAGGAUGUUGUUAUGUUGUGCACAUUUUUCACUGUAUAAUAGUUUUCUCGGGCUUUAUCCUUUUGUAUAAGCAUGUUGAGCUUCAUCCUAAUGCAGGUCAAGGUAAAAGGUGUUCAUUGCAAAAUUUCAAACGGUGCCGCCAAAAUAUCUGUGCGUGUUUGGAAUCACUGGCACGGGGGAAGGGACUGUGGAUUAAGUUCUUGAAAUUGCAUAAUAAAGCCUUCGACUCUAGCACUAUUCACACACAUAAGCAGAUUUGGUGGUUAUAUUAACGUCCUGUGAACUUAAAUGUUUGUCAUUGAUGUUUUAAAUGUUAUCAUCCUUAUUGGGUAAAAAGCGAACUAAUCCGGUCGUGUUUUAAUUGAUUUCUUCAUAAGAAUUAUUGCUGAGGAGAAACAAGGGGCAUAAAAGCUUAGGAAGGCUUCAGUAAAAGGACUCACUGAUGCCUUGGUCAACAGUCAACUCAUCAUCCAUCUGGCAAGCCAAGAGGACAAGCAAAAGGAUCGAAAUCAAACUUAUUCGUUGUAAAGGGCAAAGGCAACUCAUUGAGCGUAAGUCCUCCCAAGGCCGCGACACCAACCGAAGCCACGUGGAAGCUGUAAUGGUACUUUGAACUCGUUUCUUCGUGCUUAGAGACUACAUUCAAAGCAGAAUCACAAGACGAGUUACUGUUGCAUGAUUACCUUUGCUUCAAAUUUGAUAAAGUUUCACAAAGUACAUCUGCGGUUUCUUCUGUUUCUCGUCACGAAGAUUAUUAUCACAAACUCCAGCACUCGGUGUACGUCUUCAAACGGCCGCGAAAUGUUGAAAUGAAAUUCAAACUACAAUUUGUCAUGAAUAUGGAUUAAAGAUUGGAGCCAAUCGCGCACAAGUGCGUCAAAACUUUUGGUGCGAACUGUAUUCUCACGCUUUUUCAAGGAGCUUUUGUUGGAUUGUUAUUGAGAAAGCAUUUUGUUUUGGAAUAUUUUUGGCGAAUU